GCCCGGACUGGAACAGCCCUGCCAAGGCAAAACACAGCACCACACACCUCAUUUUCCCUGUGGGGAGCUGCAGAGGGCUGCAGAAUGGGUUUGUUCUGCCUCUGGGCUGGAGGGAAACUUUGUUGCCCUGGAAACAUGAAGACGACAGAUCCAUCGUUCAUUGGCAAGAGGAUGGGAGAAGUGCAUGACAAAGAAGUGUGAGAGGAAAGACCAAGGGAGUAAAAAGACCUUUCAGAGGUGUCACCUUGACCUGCUGCUGGGAGCAGGGGAGUGCUGAAGCCACCACCAGUGCUCAGGAUUGCCCAGCACCUGCUUGGCUCUCCCAGAGCAGCUGACUCACUGGAGUAAUUUUGCUCAACUUUGACAAUAAAGCAAUGGAUGAUGGAUUAAUGUUAA